UACGAAGGGGGCUAGCGUUGCUCGGAAUCACUGGGCGUAAAGCGCACGUAGGCGGCUUUUAAGUCAGGGGUGAAAUCCUGGAGCUCAACUCCAGAACUGCCUUUGAUACUGGGAAGCUUGAGUCCGGGAGAGGUGAGUGGAACUCCGAGUGUAGAGGUGAAAUUCGUAGAUAUCUGGAGGAACACCGGUGGCGAAGGCGGCAUCCUGGACCGGCAUUGACGCUGAGGCGCGAAAGCUAGGGUAGCAAACGGG
rnacentral:rRNA from 1 species